GGUGUGCUCCAGCAGCCCGUUGUCCUCUGCCAGGUGGUACACUGGGUUCCCGUUGGCACCAUGGAUCCAGGUGGCUCCAAGCUCCAAAGUUGCUUUUCCUACAACAAAAAAAAAGAGACAAGAAACACAGAUCAGGCUGCUAGAGGUGAGGGUCACAGGAGGACACGGCUUUGUGGCAAAUGACAAAACAUAAAUCUGAAACGAGGACGCAGAGCCAAUCAAAUCACUUCUGCCAGGAGUCCCCAGGGGGCAGCUGUUCGUUUUACACAGAUGUUUCCAUUUUAAACCAGAUUUUUCCACAUAAAACAUUUUAGUUCCUA